GGGCCAGUUGCUCUGUGGUAUAGACACUGAGCCUGGCUAGCCUGCCGGUGCGCACAUCACCAGGCAGUUUGUGGGUUCGAAUCCCGCCUGGCCCU
rnacentral:tRNA from 1 species